rnacentral:rRNA from 1 species
GCAAGUCGAGCGGAAGGCCCCUUCGGGGGUACUCGAGCGGCGAACGGGUGAGUAACACGUGAGCAACCUGCCCCUGACUCUGGGAUAAGCCCGGGAAACUGGGUCUAAUACCGGAUAUGACGCAUUCUCGCAUGGGAUGUGUGUGGAAAGUUUUUCGGUUGGGGAUGGGCUCGCGGCCUAUCAGCUUGUUGGUGGGGUGAUGGCCUACCAAGGCGACGACGGGUAACCGGCCUGAGAGGGCGACCGGUCACACUGGGACUGAGACACGGCCCAGACUCCUACGGGAGGCAGCAGUGGGGAAUAUUGCGCAAUGGGCGGAAGCCUGACGCAGCGACGCCGCGUGGGGGAUGACGGCCUUCGGGUUGUAAACCUCUUUCAGCAGGGACGAAGCUAACGUGACGGUACCUGCAGAAGAAGCGCCGGCUAACUACGUGCCAGCAGCCGCGGUAAUUCA